rnacentral:rRNA from 1 species
GGGUUGUGAGGUUAAGCGAAUAAGCGUACACGGUGGAUGCCUAGGCAAUCAGAGGCGAUGAAGGACGUGCUAAUCUGCGAUAAGCGUCGGUAAGGUGAUAUGAACCGUUAUACCCGACGAUUUCCGAAUGGGG